rnacentral:rRNA from 1 species
AGGGAAUUUUCCACAAUGGACGAAAGUCUGAUGGAGCAACGCCGCGUGAACGAUGAAGGCUCUCGGGUCGUAAAGUUCUGUUGUUAGGGACGAACAAGUGCCGUUCGAAUAGGGCGGCACCUUGACGGUACCUAACGAGAAAGCCACGGCUAACUACGUGCCAGCAGCCGCGGUAAUACGUAGGUGGCAAGCGUUGUCCGGAAUUAUUGGGCGUAAAGCGCGCGCAGGCGGUUAUGUAAGUCUGAUGUUAAAGCCCGGGGCUCAACCUCGGUCCGCAUUGGAAACUGUGUAACUUGAGUGCAGAAGAGGAAAGUGGUAUUCCACGUGUAGCGGUGAAAUGCGUAGAGAUGUGGAGGAACACCAGUGGCGAAGGCGACUUUCUGGUCUGUAACUGACGCUGAGGCGCGAAAGCGUGGGGAGCAAAC